rnacentral:tRNA from 1 species
ACUACCUUAGUAUAAAAGUAUAUUUGGCUUCCAACCAAAAGGUCUAAGGCUACCUUAGAGUUAGUA